UACGUAGGGGGCAAGCGUUGUCCGGAAUCAUUGGGGCGUAAAGAGCGUGUAGGCGCCAGAAAAGUCCGCUGUGAAAACUCGAGGCUCAACUUCGAGCUGUCGGUGGAAACUUUCUGGCUAGAGUCCGGAAGAGGAGAAUGGAAUUCCUGGUGUAGCGGUGAAAUGCGCAGGAUAUCAGGAGGAACACCAAUGGCGAAGGCAGCUC
rnacentral:rRNA from 1 species